CCUACGGGUGGCUGCAGUGGGGAAUAUUGGACAAUGGGGGGAACCCUGAUCCAGCCAUGCCGCGUGUGUGAAGAAGGCCCUCGGGUUGUAAAGCACUUUCAGUGAGGAAGAACGCCUGGUGGUUAAUACCCAUCAGGAAAGACAUCACUCACAGAAGAAGCACCGGCUAACUCCGUGCCAGCAGCCGCGGUAAUACGGAGGGUGCGAGCGUUAAUCGGAAUUACUGGGCGUAAAGCGCGCGUAGGUGGCUUGAUAAGCCGGUUGUGAAAGCCCCGGGCGCAACCUGGGAACGGCAUCCGGAACUGUCAAGCUAGAGUGCAGGAGAGGAAUGUGGAAUUCCCGGUGUAGCGGUGAAAUGCGUAGGGAUCGGGAGGAAUACCCGUGGCGAAGGCGGCAUUCUGGACUGACACUGCCACUGAGGUGCGAAAGCGUGGGUAGAAAACAGGAUUAGCUACCCCAGUAGUC
rnacentral:rRNA from 1 species